UACGUAGGGGGCAAGCGUUGUCCGGAUUUAUUGGGCGUAAAGAGCGUGUAGGCGGCCAGGUAGGUCUGCUGUGAAAACUCGAGGCUUAACCUCGAGCUGUCGGCGGAAACCAUCUGGCUAGAGUCCGGAAGAGGAGAAUGGAAUUCCCGGUGUAGCGGUGAAAUGCGUAGAGAUCGGGAGGAAUAUCAGUGGCGAAGGCGACAAACUGGACAAUAACUGACACUAAACUACGAAAGCGUGGGGAGCAAACAGG
rnacentral:rRNA from 1 species